CCGUCAAUUCCUUUGAGUUUUAGUCUUGCGACCGUACUUCCCAGGCGGAGUACUUAAUGCGUUAGCUGCGGCACUGCAGGGGUCAAUACCCGCAACACCUAGUACUCAUCGUUUACGGCGUGGACUACCAGGGUAUCUAAUCCUGUUUGCUCCCCACGCUUUCGCGUCUCAGCGUCAAUAUCGGUCCAGGUAGCCGCCUUCGCCACCGGUGUUCCUCCUAAUAUCUACGGAUUUCACUCCUACACUAGGAAUUCCACUACCCUCUCCCGUAUUCAAGUCUGACAGUUUCCAAUGCACUUCCCAGGUUGAGCCCGGGGCUUUCACAUCAGACUUACCAAACCGCCUACACGCGCUUUACGCCCAAUAAUUCCGAACAACGCUCGCACCCUCCGUAUUACCGCGGCUGCUGGCACGGAGUUAGCCGGUGCUUCCUUUGAGGGUACCGUCAAGCAAAGAUGAUAUUAGCACCCCUGCAUUUCUUCCCCUCUGACAGAGCUUUACGACCCGAAGGCCUUCAUCACUCACGCGGCGUUGCUGCGUCAGGGUUUCCCCCAUUGCGCAAAAUUCCCCACUGCUGCCUCCCGUAGGAGU
rnacentral:rRNA from 1 species